rnacentral:rRNA from 1 species
AUGUGGCUAUUGGAGGAUUCUCCGAGACGCUAAAGUCGGUGUCAAAGCUGACACUCCAGGAUGAGCCCGCGGCCUAUCAGCUAGUUGGCGAGGUAAAGGCUCACCAAGGCGAUGACGGGUAGCUGGUCUGAGAGGACGACCAGCCACACUGGAACUGAGACACGGUCCAGACACCUACGGGUGGCAGCAGUCGAGAAUUUUUCUCAAUGGGGGAAACCCUGAAGGAGCGACGCCGCGUGGAGGAUGAAGGUCUUCGGAUUGUAAACUCCUGUCAUUUGGGAACAAAAUUUCCGCUUAACUGGCGGGGACUUGAUAGUACCAGAAGAGGAAGAGACGGCUAACUCUGUGCCAGCAGCCGCGGUAAUACAGAGGUCUCAACCGUUGUUCGGAUUCAUUGGGCGUAAAGGGUGCGUAGGCGGUCGCGCAAGUCGGAUGUGAAAUCUCAGGGCUCAACCCUGAAACUGCAUUCGAUACUGCGUGGCUAGAGUGCUGGAGGGGAGACUGGAAUUUACGGUGUAGCAGUGAAAUGCGUAGAUAUCGUAAGGAAGACCAGUGGCGAAGGCGAGUCUCUGGACAGCAACUGACGCUGAGGCACG